rnacentral:pre_miRNA from 1 species
CCUACACCCAUGUGUGUAGAACUCCAAAAGAUCACCAUUAAAUUUGACACAGAUCUCUAGAAAAGUUAUCAUAUGGGUGUGAAACUUAACUUUUCUAGAGAUCUGUAUCAAAGUUAAUGGUGAUUCUUUAGGGUCCUGCACACAUGCGUGUGGG